rnacentral:rRNA from 1 species
GACGAACGCUGGCGGCGUGCUUAACACAUGCAAGUCACGGGGGUUGGAGCAAUCCAGCAACCGGCGAACGGGUGCGUAACACGUGAGCGACCUGCCCAGUUGUGGGGGAUAGCCGGCCCAACGGCCGGGUAAUACCGCAUACGCGUCUUUGGGGGCAUCCCUGGGGACGGAAACCUACGGGGCGAUUGGAGGGGCUCGCGGCCUAUCAGCUAGUUGGCGAGGUAACGGCUCACCAAGGCGAUGACGGGUAGCUGGUCUGAGAGGAUGGCCAGCCACAUUGGGACUGAGAGACGGCCCAGACUCCUACGGGAGGCAGCAGUGGGGAAUCUUGCGCAAUGGCCGAAAGGCUGACGCAGCGACGCCGCGUGGAGGAUGACGCCUCGGGUGGUAACGUACUCGUUGUCCGGGACCGGAACGUA